AUGAGAGAGAUUGUUAUUGUUGCAGAAUGGAGAAAUGAGAGAAAGCGCAUGAGUUUGUUGAAUGGAGAAGCGAGAAAGAGCGUGCGUAGGGGUAACGAGAAGAGAGAUUUUUUUCAUGCCAGAGUGAAUGAAGUACUCCCCGCUAGAGAGAGAGAGUAUGAGCAUUCUUAUUCUGAAGAGAGCAUGCGAGAAACCAAAUCUGUUGCAGUCGCGAGAGUGAGCGAGAAUUAUGUUACAGUCGCGAGGAUAAGAGAGAAUUCUAUUACAAAAAGUUUGUUACGAUUAUCCCCUCAUGAUAAAUGGAAGGGGUCCCUUAUG